CGUUGCGCCCCCCCACCGCCCACGGGCGCGCGCGCGCGCCGUAACGUCCUGACGCUCCGCAGGGACCCCUGACUGGACGGACGGACGGUGGUCCAGGGCUGGCAGUUCUUCUUUGUGAGUAGCAUUGAUCAUUUCUGUGAAGAAAAGAAAAUGACAUUGAUUGGGAUAGGAAAUCCUGCUGGAAACUGAUUUCCUGUAUCGCCCACAUCUUUUGCCUGCUAUUGCUUCUUGAAGGCAGGUUUUCAUCUUAUACCUUUUUGGCAAGUGUCCCAAGAGUGGGAAAAGUUUUUUGGGAUAUUGUAGGUGCUUAAUAAAUACUGUUGAGAUAAGCUAA